UCGGGACUCCAAGCACCCUGGCCCGGGACGCCCUCGACGGAAGCCCAGUGCCGCGUCCGUCGAGCGAGGCGCGAGGCCAGCAGCUGCCUGCAAGGCGGAGUCAGGCGGCCCUAGCUUCGGCGGGGAAGCAUCUCCGCCGAAACUCGAGGGCACUGGUCUAGGCACGGGCCCGCGGUGGCGGCAGCCGGCCCGAGCAAGGCGCUACUGGACUCGGGCCCCGCAGGCGUGGACGCCACUGGUCGGGCCGCUCCUUCGCCGGCCUGAGAGCACCCUCCCUUGUCGGCGCGCUCCCUGGAGUAACGGUAGCACUGGCUGUGGCCCUAGGCGUCUCCGGAGUGCUCGUAGCGGGAGAGUGUCCUGGGUUCCUGGGGGAGCUCCAGGCAGAGAGAGCCACGGCCCUUGCCUGCGUCCCUGUGGGGGAAAAAGUACCAAGUGAAAUGUGCUACUGCAGCUUCUAUUGAACGAAAGCCACUUGGUCCUGCAGAUAAUUUACCACCCAAGGGGGAAGUAUCUUUGAAGGCAUGGGAGGCUAUCAUAAAGACUG